rnacentral:misc_RNA from 1 species
UCGUAACAAGGUUUCUGUAGGUGAACCUGCAGAAGGAUCAUUAGUGAAAGUUUCGGGCCUGCCAUACGGACGCAAACACGUCUCUGGCGCCCAUCACUAUAUCCAUACCAACCCCUGUGCACUGUGAUGACGAAUGUCAUCGAACAAAAAAAAACUCGUAUGGUUGAAUGUACGUGAAAUUGUAGGUAUAGCCUACGAACUAUACACAACUUUCGACAACGGAUCUCUUGGUUCUCCCAUCGAUGAAGAACGCAGCGAAACGCGAUAGGUAAUGUGAAUUGCAGAAUUCCGUGAAUCAUCGAAUCUUUGAACGCACCUUGCGCUCCAUGGUAUUCCGUGGAGCAUGCCUGUUUGAGUGCCGCGAAUUCUCCCUCCCCUUACGGUGGCCGAAAGGCCGAAGUAGGGCGGACGGGGUAGGAUGGGUGUUUGCUGCCUGGGGAUUGUACCAGGCUCGCCCGAAAUGCAUAAGCGCCAGGACCCUCGCUACCGCUCUCUAGGGAAGAGUGGCUAAGCGACCGCUGAGCAUGGCAUGAUACGUCAUUUGCUGUGUGUGGGCGGCCGGUUGGAGAGGUGUCUGCUUUACCAGCCCUAUUUUAAUUCUGGUCUCAAAUCAGGUAGGAUCACCCGCUGAACCUAAGCAUAUCAAU